UCAAGGUGGGAUUUCAAGAUGUUGUCAGAGAACCUCGAACACCCAAAUCCAUCGAGACCUUCUGAAGAGUUACUACAUCCAGCAGCCGCCGUCGUGUUCUAUACCUGCAGUGGUAUUCACCACAAUUAGUGGCAGGAGAAUCUGCUCAGACAGUACGAAAACAUGGACGCAGACCAGCAUGGCCUAUCUUGAUAGAAAGAACUGGCAA